rnacentral:rRNA from 1 species
CCUACGGGUGGCAGCAGUGAGGAAUAUUGGUCAAUGGACGAGAGUCUGAACCAGCCAAGUAGCGUGAAGGAUGACUGCCCUAUGGGUUGUAAACUUCUUUUAUAAAGGAAUAAAACGAGGCACGUGUGCCUUUUUGCAUGUACUUUAUGAAUAAGGAUCGGCUAACUCCGUGCCAGCAGCCGCGGUAAUACGGAGGAUCCGAGCGUUAUCCGGAUUUAUUGGGUUUAAAGGGAGCGUAGAUGGGUUGUUAAGUCAGUGGUGAAAGUUUGCGGCUCAACCGUAAAAUUGCAAUUGAUACUGGCAGUCUAGAGUACAGUUGAGGUAGGCGGAAUGCGUGGUGUAGCGGUGAAAUGCUUAGAUAUCACGAAGAACCCCGAUUGCGAAGGCAGCUUACUAAACUGUGACUGACAUUGAUGCUCGAAAGUGUGGGUAUCAAACAGGAUUAGAUACCCUAGUAGUC